AGCGUCCUGUGCUGGAAUGUGCGGCUCCCGCGAGCUCGCGGCGCAGCACCACAGCAAGCGCCGCCGAGGCCCCGGGCCCCAGACCCCGGCGGCGGCGCCGGCGGCUCGGAAGGCUGGGCUAGGGCCAGUGGCUUGAGCACCCUCUGCAGCUCCACUCCUGGGCCUUCGCGGGCCUUGACGGCCCCAGCGCCCAACUUUUCCACCCUCCCCCUUCCCUCCCCUGAAACUCCAGCAACAAAAGAAAAGUAGUCGGAGAAGGAGCGGCGACGCCGGGUAGCCCGCCCCGCCUCGCCGGGAAGGCCGAAUACAGUUAUGGCCACCCAGGUAAUGGGGCAGUCUUCUGGAGGAGGAGGGCUGUUCACUGGCAGUGGCAGUAUUGGCAUGGCGUUGCCUAACGACAUGUAUGACUUGCAUGACCUCUCCAAAGCCGAACUGGCUGCACCUCAGCUUAUCAUGCUGGCAAAUGUGGCUUUAACUGGGGAAGUAAAUGGCAGCUGCUGUGAUUACCUGGUUGGUGAAGAAAGACAGAUGGCAGAAUUGAUGCCUGUUGGGGAUAACAACUUUUCAGACAGUGAUGGAGAAGGACUUGAGGAGUCUCCUGAAAUAAAAGGUGAACCUAAUGGACUGGAAAACAUGGAACUGAGAAAUUUGGAACUCAGUGUUGUAGAACCUCAGCCUGUAUUUGAGGCAUCAGCUGCCUCAGAAGUUUACAACUCAAAUAAAGAUCUUCCUCCAGAAACACCUGGAGGAGAGGACAAAUGCAAGAACUUGAAGACCAAACCCUUUCGCUGUAAGCCAUGCCAGUAUGAGGCAGAAUCUGAAGAACAGUUUGUGCAUCACAUCAGAGUUCACAGUGCCAAGAAAUUUUUUGUGGAGGAAAGUGCAGAGAAGCAAGCAAAAGCCAGGGAAUCUGGCUCUUCCACUCCAGAAGAGGGAGAUUUCUCCAAGGGCCCCAUUCGCUGUGACCGCUGUGGCUACAAUACCAAUCGAUACGAUCACUAUACUGCACACCUGAAACACCAUACCAGAGCUGGGGAUAAUGAGCGAGUCUACAAGUGCAUCAUUUGUACAUAUACAACAGUAAGCGAGUAUCACUGGAGGAAACACUUGAGAAACCAUUUUCCAAGAAAAGUAUACACAUGUGGAAAAUGCAACUAUUUUUCAGACAGAAAAAACAAUUAUGUUCAGCAUGUUAGAACUCACACAGGUAAGAGAAGCUUUCUAGUCCCCCAAGUUCAGUUCCAAUUGUCAAUUGGGUGGUGCUGGAGAACCCAGUGGGACUCUGGGUUCAAACCCGGGUUCUAUUAUUUGCUAUCUUUGUGACCUUGGACAAGUGAUUUAACCUCUUUGUUGCACAUUCUCCAUGGAGUAACAACAUAGAUGGGAUUGGAGGAUUAAGUGAAGUAACACAUGUGUAAAGCACUGAGUGUUAUUUGAGAAGAACAGCGAAAAGAUCUGAGCAGUGCUCUUCUAAAGUACAUAUCCUAACAACUUGAGAUAGACCAUUUCACUAAAU